GAACGCGAGCGAGCGAGUUCUUGAGAGAGAGGGGAGGUGGCAGGGUCGGGGGUUCUUGAAGAAGAAGAAGAUGGAGGCGAAAGCGAAUGGAUUGAAGAAAGAGCAAUUGCAUCCAAGUCUCCAUGGACCGACAAAUCCAAUGGUUACGCCUCUUCUUACAGAUCUCUACCAGUUCACCAUGGUUUAUGCUUACUGGAGAGCCGCCAAGAAUCAUGAACGAGCUGUGUUUGAUUUAUUCUUCCGGAAGAACCCCUUUGGAGGUGAAUAUACCGUCUUUGCUGGCCUAGAAGAAUGCAUUCGGUUCAUUGCCAAUUUCAAACUUACAGAGGAGGACAUUUCCUUUGUCCGUUCAUCAUUGCCUUCCAAUUGUGAGGAUGGUUUUUUCGAUUAUCUUAGGGGAAUUGAUUGUUCUGAUGUUGAAGUGUAUGCUAUUCACGAGGGAUCGGUUGUUUUCCCAAAGAUACCCUUACUAAGAGUUGAAGGACCCAUUGGUGUGGUUCAACUUCUGGAGACUCCUUUUGUGAACCUUGUCAAUUAUGCUUCAUUAGUCGCUACAAACGCUGCAAGACACCGAUUUGUUGCUGGGAAGUCUAAAAUUCUACUCGAGUUUGGGCUUCGUCGGGCACAGGGGCCUGAUGGUGGAAUAAGUGCGUCAAAGUAUUGCUAUAUGGGUGGCUUCGAUGCAACGAGCAAUGUUGCUGCUGGAAGAAUGUUCGGGAUACCACUUCGUGGGACACAUUCACAUGCCUUUGUUAGCUCAUUUAUGAGUCCUGAUGAGAUUGUUGACAAAUCUAUCCGCAGUAGUGAUGGAUCAACUAUUUGUGAAGAUUUUGUUAGUCUAGUGCAGACCUGGCUAAGAAAAAUUCAGUGCAUGCGUGGGAUUUUUGGUGAGACCAACCAAAGCGAGUUGGCAGCUUUCACCUCAUAUGCAUUGGCAUUCCCUACUAAUUUUCUAGCACUUGUGGACACAUAUGAUGUAAUGAAGAGUGGUAUUCCUAACUUCUGUGCAGUUGCUCUAGCACUUUCUGAUUUGGGGUACAAAGCAGUUGGAAUUAGGUUGGAUUCUGGUGAUCUUGCAUAUUUAUCUGGUGAGACGAGGAGGUUCUUCUGUGCAAUUGAAAAAAAAUUUGGAGUGCCUGGAUUUGGAAAGAUGGCCAUUACUGCCAGCAAUGAUCUUUGUGAGGAAACUAUAGAUGCUUUGAACAAACAGGGACAUGAGGUUGAUGCAUUUGGAAUAGGUACCUAUCUUGUUACAUGCCAAGCUCAAGCAGCUCUAGGUUGUGUUUUCAAGUUGGUUGAGAUAAAUAAUCAACCUCGCAUAAAACUUUCUGAAGAUGUAUCAAAGGUCUCAAUACCGUGCAAAAAACGGUGUUAUAGAUUGUAUGGGAGAGAAGGUUACCCCUUGGUGGACAUAAUGACAGGGGAAAAUGAACCACCUCCAAAGGAAGCAGAACGGAUUCUGUGUCGUCACCCUUUCAUUGAAUCUAAAAGAGCAUAUGUUGUGCCACAGCAUGUUGAGGAGCUACUUAAGUGUUACUGGGCUGGAGGUUCAGGUAAAGCAAGAGAAGAGUUACAGCCUCUUCAGGAGAUAAAGGAUCGUUGCUUGCAACAGCUUGAUCAAAUGCGACCUGAUCACAUGAGACGAUUGAACCCAACACCUUACAAGGUGAGCGUAACUGCAAAGUUGUAUGAUUUCAUUCAUUUCCUUUGGCUCAAUGAGGCACCUGUUGGGGAGUUGCAGUGAAGAUGGAUGGGCAGAGUAAUACAUGAAUCAUCAUUGCCAUGUAAGAAGCAAGUGAUGACUUUACUGAAUCAGACUAUGAACUUCAGGGUAUGAACCUCAACUAGAGUAAUGAGCGGAAUAAAUUUCUAGAGGAGAGUAAUUCGUGGAGCUGCUGUAAAGGAAAAUGAGCAGUGAUUUGGUUAUUUCCUGCAUUAAUUGGUGUUAUAGCUUCUCAUUUGUAAGUAACAGAUCGCGAAUCUUGCAAUUUAUGUAUAGCAUUCCUCCAUGUGAAGUUCACAGCUAGAGAGAUUGUUUGGAAUUUCUGCAGGAAACCCCUCGUGUUCACAUAAAUGAUCUUGUGAAUAUUCUCACUAGUACAUUGG